GACGAACCGUGCGAACGUUAUUCGGAAUCAUUGGGCUUAAAGGGCGCGUAGGCGGCGGUGUAAGUUGGAAGUGAAAUCCCAUCGGCUCAACCGUGGAAUUGCUCCCAGUACUGCACUGCUCAAGGGGGAUAGGGGUCCGCGGAACUACCGGUGGAGCGGUGAAAUGCGCAGAUAUCGGGAAGAACACCAGUGGCGAAGGCGGCUCUCUGGGACGGUACUGACGCUGAGACGCGAAAGCGUGGGGAGCAAACAGG
rnacentral:rRNA from 1 species